rnacentral:misc_RNA from 1 species
GAUGAAGAACGCAGCGAAUUGCGAUAAGUAAUGUGAAUUGCAGAAUUCCGUGAAUCAUCGAAUCUUUGAACGCAAAUUGCACUCUCUGGUAUCCCGGAGAGUAUGCCUGUUUGAGGGUCGGUAAAACGAAAUAUCGAUGUGUUGCUUUUUUUGCAACAUUUCGGAAUUGGGUUAACUUGAUCCUCUCAAGUGACCUAAAAUUCAUUACUUCGGUAUGAUUAACGUAUUUAAUUAUUUCGUUUUGAAUGCCGAAAAUUAUUAGAUGUGACUAUUUAACAAUAGCAUCACCUCCAUAAUUCUUUUGAAUUUCGACCUCAAAUCAGGUAAGAGUACCCGCUGAACUUAAGCAUAUCAAUAAGCGGAGGA